rnacentral:rRNA from 1 species
CCUACGGGAGGCAGCAGUGAGGAAUAUUGGUCAAUGGACGAGAGUCUGAACCAGCCAAGUAGCGUGAAGGAUGACUGCCCUAUGGGUUGUAACCUUCUUUUAUAUGGGAAUAAAAUGUUCCACGUGUGGGAUUUUGUAUGUCCCAUAUGAAUAAGGAUUGGCUAACUACGUGCCAUCAGCCGCGGUAGUACGGAGGAUCCGUGAGUUAUCCGGAUUUAUUGGGUUUAAAGGGAGCGUAGGUGGAAUGUUAAGUCAGUUGUGAAAGUUUGCGGCUAAACCGUAACAGUGCAGUUGAAACUGGCAGUCUUGAGUACAGUAGAGGUGGGCUGAAUUCGGGGUGUAGCGGUGAAAUGCUUAGAUAUCACGAAGAACUCCGAUUGCGAAGGCAGCUCACUGGACUGCAACUGACACUGAGGCUCGAAAGUGUGGGUAUCAAACAGGAUUAGAUACCCCAGUAGUC